GAGCAGUAGCCUACCAUUUGGCGCUACCACCAUCUCUAGCUGGCAUCCACGAUGUAUUCCAUGUAUCUAUGCUGAGGAGAUACGUAUCCGAUCCGGCACAUGUUCUGUCAGAUGUAUCAGUUCCAAUUCAGCCUAACGUCACUUAUGAGGAGGUUUCAGUGCGGAUUCUGGACCAUAGAGAGCGUCAGCUGCGGAACAAGACUGUCCGACUGGUUAAAGUCGGAUGGCAGCAUCAUUCUGACGAGGAGGCUACUUGGGAGCUGGAGGAUACGAUCCAAGCUCGAUACCCUCAUCUUUUUACUUGAGGUAUGUGGGUUGGAGUUUCUUUCAGCAUUUAUACUGUUUGGUUAUAUUAUAGUAUUUGCUGUUAGUUAUAGUGAAAUUUGGGGUCCAAAUUUUUAUUAGUAGGGGAGGAUGUGAGAUCUCGGAAAAUUUAAAUAAAUAGGGUGAUUUAAAAAUAGCCUUAUAGGAAUUUUCCGGAAUUUUUAGAAAUUUUCUGGAAAUUUUUCGGAGCUUGUACGAUGGGUAUUGUGGGGACGAAUUGAUGGGUUCGGAUAAAGCCUGUUUGGGGAUACAUGUUUAAGUGAGGAAAUGUUUUAAUUAAAUAUUUCCUUUUCUUUUUAAUUCUUCCCCAAAACCGCCGAUCCACCCUCUCUUCCCCGACCCUUCUUCUCGAUCUCUUCUCCUCUCCACCGAGCCUCUCUCGCGUCGUCGCCGAUCUCCGCGAGCUCACCGCCGAUGGAGGUUUUCCUCUCUGGAGUCUCACCAACGUCAGGGUCCCUGGCUACCGGGCGGCUCGAUCCUCUCCUCCCUCCCCCUCUCAUGUCUCUGCCCUAGAUCACCGACGCACCAGUUCUUGGCGAUCGGCGAUUCUUUCUCCGUCUCUUGGUGUUGCCGGCGAGGAGUGGAUCUUGGAGCUUUGAAGGGGUUAAAGCUAAGUCGAUUCUUUGGUUAGGUCGUAGAUUCCUUCCUUCUUGUUGAUUGAGGGGCAGAGGAAUUUUCGGGAACAUAGAAUCGAAUCUGGCGACACCUCCUGGAGACAAUCAGUUGAGUGAGGACCUGUUCUGUGGAUUUCAAAUUGAAUGCUGUGAGUUCUUUGAUCCAGCAAUUCAUCCUGUUACCGGCAGCAACAAUCCUUGCUGUAGAUCUACAAUCAGGGCAGUGAAUUGAGGUCCUGUUUCUGUGGGGUUUCUAUUGGUUACGACAGCCACCUCAUCCAGUAGCUCUUCUGGUUCCAGCUAUCAACAGCAGUGUGUAGAAUUAGGUAUGUUUUGGAUUAUGAUUAGUUAGGAUAAAUGAUCUUAGUUGUAGAUCAUCCUGUAGUUUGGUUAUUUUAGAUGGUUAUGCCUGUUGUGGAUGAAUUAGGUUUAUGUGUAGGUUUGAGUUGGAGAUGACAUGAUUACUAGAUAAGUUGUGAUUGUGGUGAUUAGGGUUUUGCCCUUAUUUAGUUUUGGGAAUUUUAUUUAGCUAUUUCAUUUGGAUUUAGCUAAAUAAAAUAUAUAUGUUGUUUG